rnacentral:rRNA from 1 species
AACGAACGCUGGCGGCAUGCCUAACACAUGCAAGUCGAACGAGACCUUCGGGUCUAGUGGCGCACGGGUGCGUAACGCGUGGGAACCUGCCCUUAGGUUCGGAAUAACUCCCCGCAAGGGGUGCUAAUACCGGAUAAUGUCUUCGGACCAAAGAUUUAUCGCCUUUGGAUGGGCCCGCGUUGGAUUAGCUAGUUGGUAGGGUAAAAGCCUACCAAGGCGACGAUCCAUAGCUGGUCUGAGAGGAUGAUCAGCCACACUGGGACUGAGACACGGCCCAGACUCCUACGGGAGGCAGCAGUGGGGAAUAUUGGACAAUGGGCGAAAGCCUGAUCCAGCAAUGCCGCGUGAGUGAUGAAGGCCGUAGGGUUGUAAAGCUCUUUUACCCGGGAUGAUAAUGACAGUACCGGGAGAAUAAGCUCCGGCUAACUCCGUG